rnacentral:rRNA from 1 species
CCUACGGGGGGCACCAGUAGGGAAUCUUCGGCAAUGGACGAAAGUCUGACCGAGCAACGCCGCGUGAGUGAAGAAGGUUUUCGGAUCGUAAAACUCUGUUGUUAGAGAAGAACAAGAAAGAGAGUAACUGCUCUUACCCUGACGGUAUCUAACCAGAAAGCCACGGCUAACUACGUGCCAGCAGCCGCGGUAAUACGUAGGUGGCAAGCGUUGUCCGGAUUUAUUGGGCGUAAAGCGAGCGCAGGCGGUCUUUUAAGUCUGAUGUGAAAGCCCUCGGCUCAACCGAGGAAGGUCAUUGGAAACUGGAGGACUUGAGUGCAGAAGAGGAGGGUGGAAUUCCAUGUGUAGCGGUGAAAUGCGUAGAUAUAUGGAGGAACACCAGUGGUGAAGGCGACUCUCUGGUCUGUAACUGACGCUGAGGCUCGAAAGCGUGGGGAGCAAACAGGAUUAGAUACCCCAGUAGUC